CACGUAGGGCGCGAGCGUUGUCCGGAAUUAUUGGGCGUAAAGAGCUCGUAGGCGGCCUGUUGCGUCCGCUGUGAAAGCCCGGGGCUUAACCCCGGGUCUGCAGUGGAUACGGGCAGGCUAGAGGUAGGUAGGGGAGAAUGGAAUUCCCGGUGUAGCAGUGAAAUGCGUAGAUAUCGGGAGGAACACCAGUGGCGAAGGCGGCCUUCUGGACCAGUACUGACGCUCAUGCACGAAAGCGUGGGGAGCAAACAGG
rnacentral:rRNA from 1 species